CAAAGUAUAUCUUAAAGUCAAAUCACCUGAUUGGUUGUUCCAGGCGUGAAACUGUUAGAAACGCUGCCAGAUUUGCUGUGUAUGAUGCAAUUAUAAUAAAUCCAAAAAGCCACCAUGUUGCAGCAACCAAACGGCCGGAAAUAUUUUUU
ensembl:ncRNA C43H6.10 ncRNA